rnacentral:rRNA from 1 species
UACAGAGGGUGCAAGCGGUGCUCGGAAUCAUUGGGCGUAAAGGGCAGGUAGGUGGUCUUAUUUGUCUGGGGUGAAAUCCCUGAGCUUAACUCAGGAAGUGCCUCAGACACGGUAAGACUUGAGUGCUGGAGAGGGUCGUGGAAUUCCCGGUGUAGCGGUGAAAUGCGUAGAGAUCGGGAGGAACACCAGCGGCGAAGGCGGCGACCUGGACAGUGACUGACACUCAACUGCGAAAGCGUGGGGAGCAAACUGG